UACGUAGGGGGCUAGCGUUGUCCGGAUUUAUUGGGCGUAAAGAGCGUGUAGGCGGCCAGGUAGGUCUGCUGUGAAAACUCGAGGCUCAACCUCGAGAUGUCAGCGGAAACCAUCUGGCUAGAGUCCGGAAGAGGAGAGUGGAAUUCCUGGUGUAGCGGUGAAAUGCGCAGAUAUCAGGAAGAACACCCGUGGCGAAGGCGGCUCUCUGGGACGGUACUGACGCUGAGACGCGAAAGCGUGGGGAGCGAACAGG
rnacentral:rRNA from 1 species